ACUAUUCCUUGCUGAGAUGGAUGAGGGAAGGAAAAACAUAAUCUUAUUAACUUUUAAAAUUAUAUUUCAUUUAUGACAGCUUUGGCAAUGAAACAACUCAGUGACAACCUGAGAAACACAGAAAUCAGACCUGUGAGAAUUGUGGAAUCUAAUAUAGUUUCACUGCAGGAGAUUUCAAUGUGUAAAUCCUAAAUGCAAGAAAAAGGGCCCUAAAGGUUAACAUUUACAUACUUUUUUUUAAUUUUAAAAAUUCCAGGUUCCCAUCAAAAUUUAUAAAUUCCUGGGCAGCACCAUAGUGUACACAUGGGGACAAAUAAAGUAAAGCCAAAAGAGCAAAAUAAACAUGAAAUAUGUACAACU
rnacentral:lncRNA from 1 species